rnacentral:lncRNA from 1 species
GCGGCUCGUGGAGAUCUGCGUGCUGGGGGCGAGUGGCCCCGACAGAGCCACGCCCUGUGGUCCCACGCACGCACCUCAGGCCAUCACACGUCGGGGCUUCAUCAAGCGAGAGCGCGACGGCCGCAGCGAACAGCUCAUCGUCGAGGAUCUCGCGGCGCUCGACGAGUACAACGAGCGCAUUGUGGUAGAGGCGCUGGAGGAGCGGUGGCAGAGAGGACAG